rnacentral:tRNA from 1 species
GGGAGUUUGGCCGAGUGGUUAAGGCGUUGUGUUUAGGACCUCUAUGAAUCUUCAAUCUUGAAGUCCAUGGAACAUCUGACCCGCAAUGGGAAACCGCGCAGGUUCGAAUCCUGCAGCUCUCA